rnacentral:lncRNA from 1 species
GUGAAGGAGAUCCGAGAGAUCCUGCAGCAGCUCAAGGGCCUGGCCCUGGAGACGGAGGCGGAGCUGGAAAGGCAGGACGAGGCCCUGGAUUCCAUCGGCAGCUCCGUGGAUCGCGCCACGCUCGGCAUCGAGCGCCAGAACCGCCGCAUCCGGAGGCUGACGUAACUUCCCGGCCGGAACGGCGACACCGGGAAGAGCGGGAGGAUGAGGGAGAGCCGGGAUUUUUGGGAUUUGUUUUUCCAGAGACGCUUUAGGAAGGGGUUUGGGAUGAGGUUUGGAUCUUGGAUGAGGUUUGGACCUUGGAUGAGGUUUGGACCUUGGAUGGUUGGGUUUUGGCUGAAGUUUGGAUCUUGGAUCACGUUGGGCCCUUGACUGAGGUUCAGGAGCUUUUUUUGGCUACAAAGAUCCGAAUUUCCGAUGGGGAUGGAGCCGAACCCGCGGAUUCUCCUGGAAAUAGGAGGGGAUGGAACAAAACCAGACUGAUUCUGAAUUAAUUAAUUCACCGCUAAUUAAUUAUCGUCCUUUUGCACUUUGCUGCUUUCCAGGCCUGGAAUUCCCUCUCCAGCUCUUUCCCUAAAAUCCUUCGGAGCCAAUCCUGCUUUUUUUUCAUUUAUUUGCACUCGGUGGUGACGAAAACAUUUUGAGGCUUUUCCAGAAUUCCCAAAAAAAUGGGAAUAUUUUCAAUUCCAGGCUGAAAUUUGCACUUGGUUCUGGUUGAGGGCAGAAAUGAUUGAAAUUCCAGGGGAAAAAUUCCCAUUUCAGCCAUCCACUGGAAUUUUUAAUUGAAAUUUAGAAUUUGGAAAUUUUUUAGAUUUUAAUUUUAAAUUAUUUAUUUAAAUUUAAAUAUAUUUUAAUAUUAAUUUAUUUUUUAUUUAAAUUUAAGUAUAUUUUAAUUCAAUUUUUUUAUCUAAAUUUAAUUUUUUAAAUUUAAAUUUCAAUCUUUUUUAAUUUAAAUAAAUUAAUUUUCCUUUUUUUAUUUGAAUUUAUA